rnacentral:rRNA from 1 species
UACGAAGGGGGCUAGCGUUGCUCGGAAUCACUGGGCGUAAAGGGUGCGUAGGCGGGUCUUUAAGUCAGGGGGGAAAUCCUGGAGCUCAACUCCAGAACUGCCUUUGAUACUGAAGAUCUUGAGUUCGGGAGAGGUGAGUGGAACUGCGAGUGUAGAGGUGAAAUUCGUAGAUAUUGGGAAGAACACCGGUGGCGAAGGCGGCUAUCUGGACCGACAUUGACGCUGAGGCGCGAAAGCGUGGGGAGCAAACAGG